UGAAAGGAAAACAAGGGAGCCAGGAGGUGCAAAUGCUGCCAGCAUUUUGUGUGUUGUUCUGGAUUGCCAGCAUCUGCAGAACCUCUUCUGUUUACCUUCGCCCAAAUACUCCUUACUUGACAGAGAGGUAAAGACCAUCAAGCCUGCUCAUAGCCACUGGGAAAACAGAAAUGCCGAAGGAUCUGCUCAGCUCUUCCUAUGACACAAUGAUUUGCUGAAGAAGGGAAUGGAUCUGUUAAG